rnacentral:rRNA from 1 species
UACGUAGGGGGCAAGCGUUGUCCGGAUUCAUUGGGCGUAAAGAGCUCGUAGGCGGCUUGGCAAGUCGGGUGUGAAAACUUCAGGCUCAACCUGGAGCGGCCACUCGAUACUGCCAUGGCUAGAGUCCGGUAGGGGACCACGGAAUUCCUGGUGUAGCGGUGAAAUGCGUAGAUAUCGAGAGGAACACCUGCGGCGAAGGCGGGUUGCUGGGCUGACACUGACGCUGAGGCGCGAAAGCUAGGGGAGCGAACGGG